rnacentral:tRNA from 1 species
GCCCUGGUGGCACAACAGUGAAGCACUCAUCUGCUAACUGAAAGGCUGGUGGUUCAAACCCACCCAGUGGCU